rnacentral:tRNA from 1 species
GGGCCGGUAGAUCAGACUGGUAGAUCGCCCGCUUCGCAAGCGGGAGGGCGCGGGUUCAAGUCCCGCCCGGUCCACCA